rnacentral:rRNA from 1 species
UACAGAGGGUGCUAGCGUUAAUCGGAAUUACUGGGCGUAAAGGGCGCGUAGGCGGUUAGUUAAGAUAGAUGUGAAAUCCCCGGGCUUAACCUGGGAACUGCAUCUAAGACUGGCAGACUAGAGUACAGUAGAGGGCAGUGGAAUUUCCGGUGUAACGGUGAAAUGCGUAGAUAUCGGAAGGAACACCAGUGGCGAAGGCGACUGCCUGGCCUGUAACUGACGCUGAGGCGCGAGAGCGUGGGUAGCAAACAGG